rnacentral:rRNA from 1 species
UACGUAGGGGGCUAGCGUUGUCCGGAAUCAUUGGGCGUAAAGCGCACGUAGGCGGAUUGUUAAGUCAGGGGUGAAAUCCUGGAGCUCAACUCCAGAACUGCCUUUGAUACUGGCGAUCUCGAGUCCGGGAGAGGUGAGUGGAACUGCGAGUGUAGAGGUGAAAUUCGUAGAUAUUCGCAAGAACACCAGUGGCGAAGGCGGCUCACUGGCCCGGUACUGACGCUGAGGUGCGAAAGCGUGGGGAGCAAACAGG